UCAAAUGCCCAUCCCUACUUAGAACCAACACCCAGAUAAAUCAACUUAGUUUUCUUCCAGGUCUCAUCUGUGUCACCUAGUUCAAAAUGCUAUGUAGCCAGGCAUUGGCACCAUCCAGCCGCUGACGCCUGACAGCGCCAUCCUUCUGCUUCCCAUGCCAAAAGUCUCAAACACCAUCCUUGCAGGUUAAAAUGACACGCAAGUCAACUAGAGAAGAGGAAAAAGCCAUUCAAUU
rnacentral:lncRNA from 1 species